GAUGAACGCUGGCGGCGUGCUUAACACAUGCAAGUCGAACGAACCUUCGGGUUAGUGGCGGACGGGUGAGUAACGCGUGGGAAUCUGCCCUCAGGAGGGGGAUAACGGUUGGAAACGGCCGCUAAUACCCCAUAUGCCGCGAGGUGAAAUGAAUUUCGCCUGAGGAUGAGCCCGCGUCUGAUUAGCUAGUUGGUGGGGUAAAGGCCUACCAAGGCGACGAUCAGUAGCUGGUCUGAGAGGAUGAUCAGCCACACUGGGACUGAGACACGGCCCAGACUCCUACGGGAGGCAGCCUGAGACUCCAAGGCACACAGGGGAUAGG
rnacentral:rRNA from 1 species